CCAGACUCCUACGGGAGGCAGCGGUGAGGAAUAUUGGUCAUUGGGCUUACGCCUGAACCAGCCAAGUCGCGUGAGGGAAGACUGCCCUAUGGGUUGUAAACCUCUUUUGUCAGGGAGCAACGCCGGCUACGUGUAGCCGGACUGAGAGUACCUGAAGAAAAAGCAUCGGCUAACUCCGUGCCAGCAGCCGCGGUAAUACGGAGGAUGCGAGCGUUAUCCGGAUUUAUUGGGUUUAAAGGGUGCGUAGGCGGAGUGUCAAGUCAGCGGUAAAAUUUCGGGGCUCAACCCCGUCGUGCCGUUGAAACUGACGCCCUUGAGUGAGUGAGAAGUAAGCGGAAUGCGUGGUGUAGCGGUGAAAUGCAUAGAUAUCACGCAGAACUCCGAUUGCGAAGGCAGCAUACCGGCGCUCAACUGACGCUCAUGCACGAAAGUGUGGGUAUCGAACAGGAUUAGAUACCCCUGUAC
rnacentral:rRNA from 1 species